rnacentral:rRNA from 1 species
AGGACGAACGCUGGCGGCGUGCUUAACACAUGCAAGUCGAGCGGAAAGGCCCUUCGGGGUACUCGAGCGGCGAACGGGUGAGUAACACGUGGGCAACCUGCCCCUAGCUCUGGGAUAACUCCGGGAAACCGGGGCUAAUACCGGAUACGACCUUCUCCGGCAUCUGAGAAGGUGGAAAGUUUUUCGGCUAGGGAUGGGCCCGCGGCCUAUCAGCUUGUUGGUGAGGUAACGGCCCACCAAGGCGACGACGGGUAGCC